rnacentral:tRNA from 1 species
GCGGGGGUCCGCAUCCCCGCCGCCGAGUAGCGGCGGGGGAGCACGCUUGGAAAGCGUGUUGGGAUAAAACCCUCACGAGUUCGAAUCUCGUAUCCUCCGCC